rnacentral:rRNA from 1 species
GAUGAACGCUGGCGGCGUGCUUAACACAUGCAAGUCGUACGAAGCGCUUGAAACGGAUUCUUCGGAUGAAGUUUCCUGUGACUGAGUGGCGGACGGGUGAGUAACGCGUGGGUAACCUGCCUCAUACAGGGGGAUAACAGUUAGAAAUGGCUGCUAAUACCGCAUAAGCGCACGGCAUCGCAUGAUGCAGUGUGAAAAACUCCGGUGGUAUGAGAUGGACCCGCGUUGGAUUAGCUAGUUGGCAGGGUAACGGCAGACCAAGGCGACGAUCCAUAGCCGGACUGAAGGGGUGGACGGCCACAUUGGGACUGAGACACGGCCCAGGCUCCUACGGGAGGCAGCAGUGGGGAGUAUUGCACAAUGGGGGAAACCCUGAUGCAGCGACGCCGCGUGAGCGAAGAAGUAUUUCGGUAUGUAAAGCUCUAUCAGCAGGGAAGAAAAUGACGGUGCCUGACUAAGAAGCCCCGGCUAACUACGUGCCAGCAGCCGCGGUAA